GGCCUAUACAUUCAUGUAACGAUAAUAACGUAAAGAGAAGCUACAGCAAACAAAAAAUAUGUCUCAAUUUUGAAAUCUUACGCGUGUUAAGCUAUUAUUACAAUUUGUCUAACGUAUAUGAAACUUACUAGAGCGACAGUGCAAGAGCCAACAGUCAACACCUACAAUGAACAAUCAGAGGACCGAGUACCCGCUACAAUUACAAUGACUGCGAAUUUUGGAAGCGCCAUACUCUGAAAUGCGUUAACAACUUAUUCUUACCGCUAAGAAUAUAUAAAAUUUCUUGACCUUUGACACUGGGGCCGUCGGACCGAAAAUAAAACUAAUACUCUCCAAGGUACUCUCUUUUUAUCUGAAAUAAACUACAACAAUUUCCAAGAAGCUGCGGAACAAUUUAAGACAGACGAAAUAAAUAUGGAUUACUAGUAUCAAGAAUUCUAAAUAAUCAGAAAGAACCUCAAUAUUGUUAAUAGGUACAACUUCUGAUUCCAAGAGUAUGAGAGCGAUUGAAUCUUGGAAGAAAGUCAUCAAAGGGUUUUCCCGUACCGAAAUCUCUAGCAUUUUCCGAAUUUUAUCCUUUGUUUUUAGUAUACCUAGCUCAAACUGUUCCUAAUAAGUUGACUCACACACAUUCCCCAUAAGUGGACUGAUGUGAGAAAUAAAUGUAUCCCUUAUUUAAUAAAAAGCGAGUUGAUAGUGGUUUUUGAAGUUAUACUUCUUUAGGCGCGUUAUGAAAAAUUUCACUCUCAUCGUGACACAAAAUUAACAGAA